rnacentral:rRNA from 3 species
AACUGCGACCCCAGGUCAGGCGGGAUUA